AUUAGAUACCCGCUAGUCCCAGCCGUAAACUAUGCUCGCUAGGUGUCAGGCAUGGCGCGACCGUGUCUGGUGCCGCAGGGAAGCCGUGAAGCGAGCCACCUGGGAAGUACGGCCGCAAGGCUGAAACUUAAAGGAAUUGGCGGGGGAGCACAACAACGGGUGGAGCCUGCGGUUUAAUUGGACUCAACGCCGGACAACUCACCGGGGACGACAGCAAUAUGUAGGCCAGGCUGAAGACCUUGCCUGAAUCGCUG
rnacentral:rRNA from 1 species